rfam:Glycine soja cultivar W05 scaffold94_6, whole genome shotgun sequence.
GCGAGGUGAUGAUAGCAAUUCAUUUGUCUGUCAAUCCGCUGAUUUCGUGUGAUGUACUAAUGAAUCCCGACAGGUUCUGAUCGC